rnacentral:sRNA from 1 species
AAAAGAGAAGAAGAAGAAGAAAUCA